rnacentral:tRNA from 1 species
GCCCCGGUAGCUCAAUUGGAUAGAGUGAUGGACUUCGAAUCCAGGGGUUGGGAGUUCGAAUCUCCCCCGGGGUA